rnacentral:tRNA from 1 species
GCACUCGUGGUGUAACGGUCAGCACACUCGAUGCAUAUUCAAGAGGUCCGAGGUUCGAGUCCCGGCGAGGUUG